UACGUAGGGUGCAAGCGUUGUCCGGAAUUAUUGGGCGUAAAGAGCUCGUAGGCGGUCUGUCGCGUCGAAUGUGAAAACCCGGGGCUCAACCCCGGGCCUGCAUUCGAUACGGGCAGACUAGAGUUCGGUAGGGGAGUCUGGAAUUCCUGGUGUAGCGGUGAAAUGCGCAGAUAUCAGGAGGAACACCGGUGGCGAAGGCGGGACUCUGGGCCGAUACUGACACUGAGGAGCGAAAGCGUGGGGAGCGAACAGG
rnacentral:rRNA from 1 species